UAUGAGAACAACUUUAUUAAAAUGGCAAAAACUUUAACCUAUCACAUUCGCUUCCACCAAAACUCGAGUGACACACCAAAGACCUACCUAAACUGCGACGGCAAUGCUAUCACUGCACCUUCGAAUGAUUUCAGUAUAAGUGUUCUCCAGAAUGUGGUUUCCCUCUUCGGCAAGGAACCAGAGAUGACAAUCACCAAACUAUGAAGAUAUCCGAACUUAAAAACCUUACGACAACUCACACACACACACUAUGAAGACAAUGCUCCAGCAUGGCCUCGGCCAUGGACCUCUUAAGACAAAAAAAAACAAACUAAAGAACAAAACA